rnacentral:lncRNA from 1 species
AACAUAGGUUAGUAUAUUUUUGUAUAUAUGAAUAGGGUUUGACAGAAAGUGGUAUCAGAAUGAGGUUGUAAUUCUGUAGACUAUCCAUUUACAUGAUAUCAAAUUAUGAAAGAACACAACUAAGCCAAUAAAUUUUAUUUUGUAGCAAUACUUGCUGCUUACUUCAUGAAUGAUAUUGAUCAAUCUUUAUUUGCAACCAUGGUAAAAACUAGAGACGCUAGUAGUAGUGGAGCUAGAAUCUAAUAAGAGACAUCUAUUUAAGAUCAUAGUGGGGAUGCUAUCGAUAGACUUACAGAACUAGUUGAGCAAUAAUCUCAAUAAAUUCAACACUUAAUACAACUAAGAGAAAGAAAAGAACAACAAAGCGCUAAAUUUUUACAAUCACAAUAAAGACCUGAACAAAUUGACAGUUGGGGAAAGAUUUAGAAAACUAAACCCUCCAAUAUUUAAGGAUACAUUAGACCCAACAACAGCAAAGGAUUAGUUGAGAACUUUAGAGAUUAUGUUCUAAUACACGAAAGUUUCAAAGGUAGGAAAAGUAGUUUGCGCAUCAUUCAUGCUUUAAGGUAGUGUUGGACACCAGUGGGACACGAUAAAUAGCAUUGAAGAUGUGAACGCCAUGAAUUGGGAUAGAUUGAAAGUGUUAUUUAUGAUGGGGAUAGUAUUUGCCAAAGAGAGCUUGGGUCAUUGCUCUUUGUAUUGUAAAUGGUGGAUUGUCCCCAACUGUAAAUAUAUGAAAUAGACUUUUCCAUUCUUGUUUAAAUUUUGCAUUACGGUUGUGGCUUGCUGAAGCGUAAUUGGAGUUGAAUUGUUUUCUUUGUUGUUUUUGGACUCAUAAUCAAUGACACGUCCUUUGAAAUGCAUUUUUCGAAAAGGAGAGGCGAUGCCUUAGUUGAAGCGAGU